rnacentral:rRNA from 1 species
AUUGAACGCUGGCGGCAUGCCUAACACAUGCAAGUCGAACGGCAGCGCGGGUAGCUUGCUACCUGGCGGCGAGUGGCGGACGGGUGAGUAAUAUGUAGGAAUCUACCUAGAGGAGCGGGAUAACUUGGGGAAACUCAAGCUAAUACCAAAUAAUCCCCACGGGGGAAAGCAGGGGACCUUCGGGCCUUGCGCCUUAUGAUGAGCCUACGUCGUCUUAGCUUGUUGGUGGGGUAAAGGCCUACCAAGGCGACGAUCCGUAGCUGGUCUGAGAGGAUGAUCAGCCACACUGGAACUGAGACACGGUCCAGACUCCUACGGGAGGCAGCAGUGGGGAAUAUUGGACAAUGGGGGGAACCCUGAUCCAGCAAUGCCGCGUGUGUGAAGAAGGCCUUAGGGUUGUAAAGCACUUUCAGUGGGGAGGAAGUUGCGUGUGCUAAUAUCAUACGUAAUUGACGUUACCCACAGAAGAAGCACCGGCUAACUCUGUGCCAGCCGCCGCGGUAA